rnacentral:lncRNA from 1 species
GUAAUGAAUUCAUAGAAUAAGCUCUCCUUUUGAAUAGGAAGAAUGAGUUUUCCGGUUUUGAUUCCAAGAAAAUCGGUAUCCCUCCACCUCCGCUAAGUCGACAUUCAACAGAUAUUUCAAGGACCCUGGUUUGAAGGGGUGCCAACUCAUUAGCUUGCCCAAGGUGCCAGAGCUGGCUCUGAGACGGCAUGUGCCUCCCCUGAACCAGCUGGGGACCUGAGCUGUGAGUGGGCUUGUGCUGCGGCAUCUGGCUGUACUCACACAAGAGGUCUUCUUGGCAUGUGUUGCCUGCCAUAGGGGUUGAGUUCCAGAGUCCUAACGAUGGAGCUGAUGCCCUCCGCAGGACCAAGGAUAGUAUGUGAGUGGGAGAUGAGUAGGAGACGGAAUGAGGGGAAUAGGCGAAUAGGAGGGCACUGUCAGUCGCUGGGAGAGCUUUAGUGCUUGGGAAACGUAGGGCAACAAGGAAGAUUGUUGGGUAGGGGGGACAGGAGUUGCUGAGACUGGGUAGAGAAGGUGCCUAGAGGAGGGCAGGCGACGAGGUCCUCUGGGUCUGACCAGGCAGUCCCAGCUCCAGCCCAUCCCCUGGCCCCUCCCCGCUGCCGGCCAGAGUCACACAUGUGUUUUCCUGUUUUCCAUUUCGGUCCCCGUCACCCUCUGCCUUUUCUGCUCCUCGGAGUCAACAGCCGCUGCUGCUCGAGCCUUAGCUGGCUUCCCUUCCUAGCACCUUCCCCACCCCGCCCCCAGCGUGCUGGUAGCCCCUCCUCCUCGCACCUGCCCAAAGGUCACGGGACAGGGACUAUCGUAGCCACAGUGGAAUAUAGAAAAACAAAUGGAGAACUGGGGAGGGAGGAGCUGAGCUUCCAGCUUGGGGUGAUGGAGGCAUCCAGCUGAACCACAGUGUGUAAGUGUUUUCUGUUUCUGUUGUUAGGGAAGGCAGCACAGGCCAGUUGGAGCUAGGAAGGCAGGAUAUGGGGUAUGUUGGGGGUAAAGUGGCUUCUCACAUUUAGCACUUGAGCUUGACCCAGCAGCCAAGACCCUGGACUGCGGGCUGGUUCCUGGAGGAAGUAUGCUUUGGCGUUGCCAUUCACGGGUGGGUUUGGGGGCAGG